AUCCGAGGUGUCCUGGUUCGACGUCCUGUUCGUGAAUUGCAAUCACUGCAAAGUCAUGAAAAGAGGAGGAGUUGCCGACGCGCAGUGUUCGCUGUGGGUGCGCCAGGCAGCUCUGCGGCGAGGCGUGCCUCAAUAUUGCCAUUUUGUGUACGACCUGCUCUGCGGUCCUUCGCCCAAGUACCAGAUAUCGGACGCCGGCUGCCUCUGCGAAGACUCCAAACUGGCCCAUUGUUAAUCCAACAGCAUCGACAGGUGGUCAACCUCCGUGCAGGAUCUGAUCGACGACGACGAGACUGCUUCCAACUGCUGCGGGUUAUGAAGACAGUCUUGGGAAUUGUUUAUUUAAGUCCCAGUGCGUUGCGUAUUUUUGCACGUGCGCGGGCUGUCACGCGCUCUUUAGGUAGCGCGCUUUCUUGUGGCAACUGCUUGAAUUCCGCUUUCUUUUAUUGCGUUGCGAUUAAAACUCAGAUCCUUUGAAAUUGUGUGGUUUGACGUCCUAAAAGAACGCACAGGCUUUGGGGGACGCCAAAGCGGGGGGCUCCGAAUUCACUGCGCCCACUUGAGGUUCUUGCACCUAAAUUUGUGUACCCGAUAACUUUUCCGCAUACAGCCUCCAUCAGAAAGCGGCGGCCGUGGCCGAUAAUUGAACCUAAAAAUGUAAGAACGAUUGGUACGGGGCAACGAUGAAAAGUGCAAGUGCUUUCAAUGGUUCGCGGGAACGUGCAGGUCAGAAUACUUCGCGCGACUGCGACUUCGUCAAACAAUGUUUCCACGUGGUGGUUAGGCUGGGCAAAGAAAGGUUCCCUUUGAAAUUUCGGGGCUCUUUCACCGAGAGAUAUGCGAGAGCUUAUGCGGUUGUCCCUCUUCGUAUCUCUUUAUGUGACUCGUUUAUGUAAAACGCUGUUGUUUGACCUGUUCAA